rnacentral:rRNA from 1 species
GACGAACGCUGGCGGCGUGCUUAACACAUGCAAGUCGAACGGAAAGGCCCUGCUUUUGUGGGGUGACGGGUGGCGAAAGGGGGAAGUAACAGGUGAGUAACCGGCCCUUGAUUUUGGGAUAACUUAAGGAAACGGGGGUUAAUACCGUAUAGGAGCUCCUGCUGCAUGGUGGGGGUUGGAAAGUUUGGGCGGUUUGGGUUGGACUCGCGGCUUAUCAGUUUGUUGGUGGGGUAGUGGCUUACCAAGGCUUUGACGGGUAGCCGGCCUGAGAGGGUGACCGGGCACAGUGGGACUGAGAUACGGCCCAGACUCCUACGGGAGGCAGCGGUGGGGAAUAUUGCACAAUGGGCGGAAGCGUGAUGCAGCAACGCCGCGUGCGGGAGGACGGCCUUCGGGUUGGAAACCGCUUUCGCCUGUGACGAGGCGUGAGGGACGGUAAUAGGGAAAGAAGCACCGGCUAACUACGG